CAAUAGCGUAUAUUUAAGUUGUUGCAGUUAAAAAGCUCGUAGUUGGAUUUCGGGUGGGACGCAGCGGUCUCGCAUUGCGUUUGUACUGCUGCAGCCCUCCUUCUUGCCGGGGGCGGCCUCUCGGACUUCACUGUCUGGGGGUCAGAAUCGGCGAUGUUACUUUGAGUAAAUUAGAGUGUUCAAAGCAAGCUUACGCUCUGAAUAUAAUAGCAUGGGAUAACACGACAGGACUCUGGCCUAUCGUGUUGGUCUAUAGGACCAGAGUAAUGAUUAAGAGGGACAGUCGGGGGUAUUCGUAUUCCGUUGUCAGAGGUGAAAUUCUUGGAUUUACGGAAGACGAACAUCUGCGAAAGCAUUUGCCAAGGAUGUUUUCAUUGA
rnacentral:rRNA from 1 species